rnacentral:rRNA from 1 species
AUACGUAGGUGACAAGCGUUAUCCGGAUUUACUGGGCGUAAAGGGUGUGUAGGCGGUCUUGCAAGUCAGUAGUGAAAGCCCCGGGCUCAACCCGGGAACCGCUUUGGAAACUAUUUAGCUAGAGUGCAGGAGAGGUAAGUGGCAUUCCUAGUGUAGCGGGUAAAUGCGUAGAUAUUAGGCGGAACACCGGCGGCGAAGGCGGCUUACUGGACUGUAACUGACGUUGAGGCUCGAAAGCGUGGGGAGCAAACAGGAUUAGAUACCCUGGUAGUCCACGCCGUAAACGAUGAUCACUAGGUGUUGGGAGGCAAAGCCUUUCGGUGCCGCAGCUAACGCAAUAAGUGAUCCACCUGGGGAGUACGUUCGCAAGAAUGAAACUUAAAGGAAUUGACGGGG